rnacentral:tRNA from 1 species
GGGGUUAUGGCUCAGUGGUAGAGUGCUCACCUAGCAUAUGUGAGGCACUGGGUUCGAGCCUCAGUACCACA